GACUAGGGCCAUACCAUCUUAAUCUUCUAGAUUGCAUCAUAUCUCUGAAGCUAAACAGGAGAGGGCCUGGACCGUACUGGAUGGGAUGAAUGACAGUGAUUGGAUGCUUCAGAUG
rnacentral:rRNA from 14 species